CCUCCACCCACUGCCGCCCGGGUUCUGUGCCCCUUCCGCUUCCUUGGCCUCGGCAGCUCUGCAUGGCCACAUUCUGCCUGCCGUCGCCCCCUGAGGCUCCUUCACUGGCUCUCAGUGUGACUCGUUGCUCAGUGUCAGCCUUGGCGAUGCCCUGAGCGCGUCCCCCAACCUCAACUAUCAGGGAACGUGAUGGCCCAGGCGACAGUGUUGGGAGGCGGAGCCUAAUGAGGUGACUUGUGGCAUUGCUGUGGGGUGGGCUAGUUACGGAGAGGGUGGCUUGCUUUAGAGGUGAGCUGGCCUCCCUUGCCCUCUACAUUCGGCUGUUGGAAGACGCUGCACAACACCAAGAGGCAGACAACCACCCUGUGCUCUGGGUCUCCCCAGGCUCCAGGCUCUUCAGACACUCGCUCAGGUGCUCAGUUAAAAAGCAGCUGAAGAUGGCGGGCGACAGUGUUCCUCACGGCCUUCCUGUUGCCUCUGUGACUCACCCCAGUUCUCUGCACAGUGACCUUUGUCCCUGUGUCUUCAAGUCUUUUUCCCCCCAAGAAACUUCUGUUUCUAUAGUAAUUAAAGUGUCUUAUAAUUAUUGUAAUCACGACAAUAUCCACAUGCAUUAGACUUAUCAAAUAUUGUCACAUACUUUAUUUGCUUUGAUUCUCAUGCACCCCUGUGUGAUGGAAAAUUCAAGAACUAUCAGUACUAUUUAACAAAGAAGAAAAUGAAUGUCAGGAAGAUUACAGCACUGGCACCCAGGUCUGCCUGGCCCCCUGUGGUGGCCAUCAGGGGAGACCCUGGCUGUGGGCAGAGCAGGGGAGGAUGGCCAGGGGUCCCAGGGAAAACCACGGCUACAGCAUCCUGUGUCCAUGUCCACAGAUGUCCGAGGACUCACUGCAGAAGCCACACACAGGUGGCCACUGUGCCCAGUGGUGAGGUGCCUGGCUCCCCGUCACUCACAGCUCAGAGUGCCUGGGGAGGAAGAGUCGGAGCCUGCUCUCAAGGCUCCCCCAGCUGGGGGUGGUGAGGUCCCUGGCCCCCACGGACUCAACAGGGAAGAAUGGAC
rnacentral:lncRNA from 1 species